rnacentral:misc_RNA from 1 species
GCCUUGGAAGCAGGUGACUGAACCCAAACAAGAUGACCUGCAGGUAAGAAAUGGCAGACCGGAGUGCCCGGCUUUACCUGGAGCAAGCGAAAGACAAUAUGAUCAUGCUCCCACCUUGACGAGUCCGUAUGGCAAAUGGCAAUAGCUUCCACUUUAUCUCCACUUUCACCUCUGAGUGAGACCUUAACAAGCUUUACAGCUUCAACGUUAUAAUGACAAAAUAAAGCCUCAGACACGGGAUGACAAACUACCAUUCCCUGACCUUCAAUCUCUUGGGGAUCUUCCAACACAAUAUAGUCUUGUAACAGUGCAGCUGAGAUUGUGGGGUAUUUGGUUUCCACAAUUUUAAGUUCCCCUUCUGAUCCAAAUG